rnacentral:rRNA from 1 species
GACGAACGCUGGCGGCGUGCCUAAUACAUGCAAGUCGAACGCAGUGGGGACGGGUGAGUAACACGUGGGUAACCUCCCAUCAGAGGGGAUAACACUUGGAAACAGGUGCUAAACCGAUACUGAUGGAUGGACCCGCGGUGCAUUAGCGAGUUGGUGAGGUAACGGCUCACCAAGGCCACGAUGCAUAGCCGACCUGAGAGGGUGAUCAGCCACAGUGGGACUGAGACACGGCCCAGACUCCUACGGGAGGCAGCAGUAGGGAAUCUUCGGCAAUGGACGAAAGGCUGACCGAGCAACGCCGCGUGAGUGAAGAAGGUUUUCGGAUCGUAAAACUCUGUUGUUAGAGAAGCGGUAUCUAACCAGAAAGCCACGGCUAACUACGUGCCAGCAGCCGCGGUAAUUC